rnacentral:rRNA from 1 species
GACGAACGCUGGCGGCGUGCCUAAUACAUGCAAGUAGAACGCUGAAGGAGGAGCUUGCUUCUCCGGAUGAGUUGCGAACGGGUGAGUAACGCGUAGGUAACCUGCCUGGUAGCGGGGGAUAACUAUUGGAAACGAUAGCUAAUACCGCAUAACAGUAGAUAUCGCAUGAUAUCUGCUUGAAAGGUGCAAUUGCAUCACUACCAGAUGGACCUGCGUUGUAUUAGCUAGUUGGUGAGGUAACGGCUCACCAAGGCGACGAUACAUAGCCGACCUGAGAGGGUGAUCGGCCACACUGGGACUGAGACACGGCCCAGACUCCUACGGGAGGCAGCAGUAGGGAAUCUUCGGCAAUAGACGGAAGUCUGACCGAGCAACGCCGCGUGAGUGAAGAAGGUUGUCGGAUCGUAAAGCUCUGUUGUAAGAGAAGAACGAGUGUGAGAGUGGAAAGUUCACACUGUGACGGUAUCUUACCAGAAAGGGACGGCUAACUACGUG